GGGAAUGUGGCUCAGUGGUAGAGUGCUUGUCUAACAUACAUGAAGCCCUGGGUUUGAUUCCUCAGUACCA
rnacentral:tRNA from 1 species